CCUACGGGUGGCUUCAGUGGGGAAUAUUGGACAAUGGGGGCAACCCUGAUCCAGCCAUGCCGCGUGUGUGAAGAAGGCCCUCGGGUUGUAAAGCACUUUCAGUGAGGAAGAACGCCUGGUGGUUAAUACCCAUCAGGAAAGACAUCACUCACAGAAGAAGCACCGGCUAACUCCGUGCCAGCAGCCGCGGUAAUACGGAGGGUGCGAGCGUUAAUCGGAAUUACUGGGCGUAAAGCGCGCGUAGGUGGCUUGAUAAGCCGGUUGUGAAAGCCCCGGGCUCAACCUGGGAACGGCAUCCGGAACUGUCAAGCUAGAGUGCAGGAGAGGAAGGUAGAAUUCCCGGUGUAGCGGUGAAAUGCGUAGAGAUCGGGAGGAAUACCAGUGGCGAAGGCGGCCUUCUGGACUGACACUGACACUGAGGUGCGAAAGCGUGGGUAGCAAACAGGAUUAGAUACCCGGGUAGUC
rnacentral:rRNA from 1 species